rnacentral:rRNA from 1 species
UACGGAGGAUCCAAGCGUUGUCCGGAUUUAUUGGGUUUAAAGGGUGCGCAGGCGGACUUUUAAGUCAGUGGUGAAAGCCGACAGCUCAACUGUCGAACUGCCAUUGAAACUGAAAGUCUUGAAUGCGGUCGAGGUAAAUGGAAUGUGUCAUGUAGCGGUGAAAUGCUUAGAUAUGAUACAGAACACCUAUUGCGAAGGCA